ensembl:lncRNA
AUGCAACUUGAAAAACUUUCAAACCGUAAAACAUUGUAUAAAGUGAAAAUUAAAAAUGACGCCCAGGAGCGUGCACGCCUUUAUGCAUGCGUGUCUCCUUCCCAGGCCUCCAAACGUGCAGUUCACCAGCCUCCAGCAGCCUGCCCCUACGGCUCUUCCUGGGCGGACUUGCUGGGGCCCCCAGAGCUGCCGUGCCCCGAGAGUGGGGAGCCUGGGGCCCUGUGGGUUGGCUGCUUCCCAGACGGUCCUUCUCAGCAGCUGCCAGAGCAGAGUGUCCAGUUGCCCAAGACUGGAGCACUCAGCCGCGCCUUCCUCCUACAGGCCCUGCUGGGUCAGGCCGAGGCCAGCCUCUCCGUGGACUCCUCCUGGCCCACCUGCCUCGUACUCCUGUCUUGUGUCCGUUCCAGAGCCAGCAGCCCACUCUGGGACCCCAGACCGUCCUCUGUACAGACACGCUCAGGCCUGCCCCGCCAUCCAGGGUUCCCUGGGAGGCGUGUGGGGACUGGGGGCUCCAGCCAGGACAGGGGUCUGAGUCGGGGAAUUACAUCAGCGUCAGAGGGCACCAGGGGAACAGCAGGGAGGGCCAAGUGUGGUGAGUGCCCGGGGGGCGGUGCAGGGCUGGGGCCCCUUCUCUGUGCUGUAAGUGGGGUGGGACCUCCUUCACAGCCGAGCCCUGAGCCCCGGGAUGCACCCAAGGUCACCGCGGGAGGUGGCGGAGCUGGGUUCUCAGCCUGGUCCCGGUCUGCAGCCCCGCCCGCAGCAGGUGUGGAUGGCCCCCUGCUGCCCUCCCCAGAGGCAUCGCCUGCCCCGAGGGCCCAGGCAAACACGGGACGGGGCGGGGUGGGGGGGCGCAGGGGAGCCGGCCUCGCCCGACAGCAUGUGCCAAGGGUGUGUGACAGCUGCCAGGGAACGGCCACCUCUGCAGAUGAACCCGCGCCCCCUUCUCUGACAAGGGCGGGCCCUAUGUGCAGAGCGCAAGGACUCGCCCCAGCCGUGUCCGGGAUGCACGGGGCCCUCACUGCCUGGGCAGAGCCGUAA